CGGGCAAGGCCGACGAGGAGCUUGUCAGGGAUGGAACCGAUAGGGUUGAGGAGGGAAGCGAGGCCUGAGAGGGGGAGGCGGAAAGGGUCGGCGACGCGGUGGAGGCGGCCGUCGUGGAAGACAAGGGCGCCGGGGUAGAAUUGGCGGAGGCGGAGCGAGGGGUAAUGGAGCAGCCGGCGGGCCUCGGGAUAGGCAGUGAGGAAGAUUUGGAAGCCGCGGUCGAGGAGGAAGCCGUUGAGGGAGUCAGUGCGGACGCGGCCGCCGACAGCGUCGGAGGCCUCGAGGAGCACGAACGGG
rnacentral:lncRNA from 1 species